CCCGCCCCCCGCCCCCAAAUUCCACCCGGCCCAUGUAAGCUAUGACCCGAAUCAGGCUCAGGGGGCACAAAAUCAAAGUUUUGAUCUUUGAGGAGGAUUGUGAUGAAAUCUUCAACUUCUCAGCCGUGUAUCUGAUCAGGUUAGGCCAGUUGGAGGGCAGUGGGCCCGCCUCCUUCCGCCCAAGUUUGAAAUUUGCUUCUCGUGUAUUGGAGUAGUAAAAUGUCGCUUUGUCGAAACUGACUGGAGAGUGGAAUAGGAUUGAAGUGGAUUGCUACUCGUAAGCACAGGUGUAGCUAAAACCAGAGAGAGAUGGGAAGCCAAGAGACUGUAAAGCAGCUUGAGGACUGCUCAGUUGCCAAUUGUAUGAUGCUGUGCAUGGCUAUCUGCAGCGCAAUGGGCACUUGGGUUUUCUCCGUAGCAGGGGCUUUGUUAGCGAUUCCAGUGGGGAUAAAAAGGAAAUCUUUAGCGCCGCUUGUGUUCUUCGGCACAACAGGUACCAUGCUUGAUAUUAUAAUGGGAAUCACUCAGUGUGAAAGAGAACAUGCAGAAUGCCAAGCGAAGCUAUUAGAAGCCCAGAAAUCUGCAACUGAUGCUUCAUUUGCUGAGACUGGGGCGGAAUCAUAGUCUUGACUCUUAAGCAUAUGGAUCAUAUGCCCGUGUUUGGCUGCUGUCAGUUUUCUCUUCAAAUUUCUUUACUGUAAAAGCUUAAUAGUCGAACCUGUUGAAUGACCCCUUUGCUUGAAUUAUGCCUUCCCUUUUUCAUGGGUUAAUAAUCACACGAAAUUUGUUAAUGACAUAACGUCAAUUUAAUCUCCCUCGCAUGGCA